rnacentral:misc_RNA from 1 species
GAAAGUAAAAGUCGUAACAAGGUUUCCGUAGGUGAACCUGCGGAAGGAUCAUUAUUGUAUAACCGAGGUGCGAGGGCUGUCGCUGACCCGAAAGGUCGUGCACGCCCGAGUGCCCUCACACACAUCCAUCUCACCCCUAUGUGCACCACCGCGCGGGUCCCCCUUUGGCUUGUUCGGAGGGGGGCUUACGUUUUCACACAAACUUUGUAUGCAGUGUAGAAUGUAUUUUUUGUUUUUGCGAUCACGCAAUCAAUACAACUUUCAACAACGGAUCUCUUGGCUCUC